UAGGGGGAAGAUGGCUAAGGUAAUUUGCACAUUUUAAAAACCAAUCAUACAUCAUUGGCUUGGAGUUAGUAAGUUAAUAUAAGUGUUCGGAAACAACCCCAGGCUGUGAAGAGUAGUCUCUCAAGAAAAAGACCAGUGGACACCCUCUCAUAGUCUGUGAACCAGAGAUAGUUUUCAAUACUUGAGCUAAACUAGGGAGAAAAGAAAUUCCCUGGGAUACAGAGCGUGGAGAAUGGCGUUUCAAAUUCAAAGACCAAAGCCAAUACUUCAUCGCUCCAGUCUAUUCUGCAUAUACAGAAGGGAUUAAGCCAGUCCAAGGUUAUAGCCAGCCCUGUGGCCAUCAACAGAAGCAAACAAAGACUUUGAAGUCUGAUGCAUUUACAAUCUUUCAUAGUCACAUCUAAGGAGACUGUAGUGAAAUCCAGAACGACAAUAAGAAUACAUCUGUAUAACAUCUUAAGUGAUGCAGGAACUUUUAUCUGUCUUGAGAAACCAAUCUCACUGCAACUGUGAUACUGAUCUUUGAGAGUCCAUCUUCCAUCCCAGUUGUCCGUGUCCCUUUACCGUGAUUCUUAUACUUCAAUCAAGCUACAUUUAUCAGCAGUUUCUUCACAUUUACUAUCCUGGUGCUAACAUUUAUUUGUAGCCAAGCAUCUGGCAUCUGUUCAGCAGCUUCACUUCUCCAGAGUUUAUACAAAUAUUCUCUUCGUUGAAAUAAAUCCAACAAUCUAAGUGAAACUCAGUUGAAAGUGACAAGUGCCACCUCGUUUUCUGGCAAACCAUGUAAAAUUGGGACUUCUCCGGGAUUUCAGAGCAAACCUGUA